CCGCCGCCGACCGCCUCUCCGCCGCGCCGCCGCCGACCGCCUCUCCGCCGCGCCGCCGCCGACCGCCUCUCCGCCGCUGUCCGCUUCUCCGCCACGCCGGCACCGGCGCUGUGUGCCUUUGCAAGGGCGGAGCUGCGUUCUCCUCGGCACAGACCCGGAGAGCAUUGCGAGGGCGGAGCUGCGUUCUGCUCUGCAUAGACCUUGGGGCACUGCCUCGCUUUGGGACAACUCGGGGCCGCAUCGACGGUGAAUAAAAUCCUUCCUGUUUGCAGCCAUGUUUGUGGUUGGUGGCAGCGAUGGACACUGCAGCCAGCCAGUGUAGAAAGGCAUUGGGUGAAAGAAGAUUGCCACGGAGACAGACAGCAGCAUGGUCAGUGUGGUAGGAGCCGGCCAUCAGCGAGAGCUGCUCCAUGCCUGGCUGCUGGGAGCUAGAGCCUGCGGCCCACUGGCUUGCCUCACUGUAGUUGGUGGUGGCAGUGACAGAGACUGCAGCAUGACCAGAGUGGCUUUUCUGGCUUUGCCCGCCCAGCUGCUCCAUGCCAGGAGGAGGAGGAGACACCUAGAGCCUGCAACACCACGGCUCACCUCGCUGCAGAUGAAAUGAUGACUUGAGAUGAAAUGAUGAGAUGAAAUGACGAAAUGAUGAGAUGAGAUGAUGAGAUGAAAUUUUGAGAUGAAAUGGUGAGUAGAAAUGAUGAGAUGAAAUGAUGAGACGAAAUGACAAAAUUGAAAAGAAAUUGAAAGGAGAGGAGAUGAGAUAAAAUGAGAUGAAAUGAGAUGAUGGAUGAAAUGAGAUGAAACGAGAUGAAAUGAAAUAAUGAAAUGAUAUGAAAUAAUGAAAUUGAAAUGAGAUGAUAUGAGAUGAAAUAAUGAGAUAAAAUGAUGAGAUGAACGAUGAGAUGAAAUGAUGAAAUGAAAUGAGAUGAAAAAUGAUGAGAUGAAAAAUGAGAUGAAAUGAAAUAAUGAAAUGAGAUGAAAUGAAAUGAAAUAAUGAAAGGAAAUUAUGAAAUGUAAUGAUGAAAUUGAAAUGAGAUGAGUUGAAAUGAUGAGAUGUAAUGGUGAAAUGAAAUGAGGAAAUGAGAUGAGAUGAAAUGAGAUGAAAUAAUGAGAUGAAAUGAGAUAAUGAGAUGAGAUGAAAUCAUGAGAUGAAAUGAUGAAAUGAAAUGAAAUGAUGGAUGAAAUUAUGAGAUGAAAGAUGAAAUGUAAUGAGAUGAAAUGAAAUGACAUAAUGAAAUGAAAUAAUGAAAUGAGAUGAAAUAAAAUAA
rnacentral:lncRNA from 1 species